UGGAGAGUUUGAUCCUGGCUCAGGACGAACGCUGGCGGCGUGCUUAACACAUGCAAGUCGAACGGAAAGGCCUCUUCGGAGGUACUCGAGUGGCGAACGGGUGAGUAACACGUGGGUAAUCUGCCCUGCACUUCGGGAUAAGCCUGGGAAACUGGGUCUAAUACCGGAUAGGACCUUUUGGCGCAUGCCUUUUGGUGGAAAGCUUUUGCGGUGUGGGAUGGGCCCGCGGCCUAUCAGCUUGUUGGUGGGGUGACGGCCUACCAAGGCGACGACGGGUAGCCGGCCUGAGAGGGUGUCCGGCCACACUGGGACUGAGAUACGGCCCAGACUCCUACGGGAGGCAGCAGUGGGGAAUAUUGCACAAUGGGCGCAAGCCUGAUGCAGCGACGCCGCGUGGGGGAUGACGGCCUUCGGGUUGUAAACCUCUUUCAGCAGGGACGAAGCGCAAGUGACGGUACCUGCAGAAGAAGCACCGGCCACAUACGUGCCAGCAGCCGCGGUA
rnacentral:rRNA from 1 species